GACGUAGGGCGCGAGCGUUGUCCGGAUUUAUUGGGCGUAAAGAGCUCGUAGGCGGCUUGUCGCGUCCGACGUGUGAAAACCCCGCGGCUCAACUGUGGGCUUGCAGUCGAUACGGGCAGGCUGGAGUUCGGUAGGGGAGACUGGAAUUCCUGGUGUAGCGGUGAAAUGGCGCAGAUAUCAGGGAGGAACACCGGUGGCGAAGGCGGCGAUCCUGGACCAACACUGACGCUGAGUGAGCGAAAGCCCAGGGGAGCAAACGGG
rnacentral:rRNA from 1 species